rnacentral:rRNA from 1 species
UACGUAGGGGGCAAGCGUUGUCCGGAAUUAUUGGGCGUAAAGAGUACGUAGGCGGUCUGUUAAGCGCAAGGUGAAAGGCAUAGGCUCAACCAAUGUGAGCCUUGCGAACUGGCAGACUUGAGUGCAGGAGAGGAAAGCGGAAUUCCUAGUGUAGCGGUGAAAUGCGUAGAUAUUAGGAGGAACAUCGGUGGCGUAAGCGCUUUACUGGGCCGUAAUUGACGCUGAGGAACGAAAGCCAGGGUAGCAAAUGGG